AUAUCAGUAAGCGGAGGAAAAGAAACUAACAAGGAUUCCCCUAGUAACGGCGAGUGAAGCGGGAUGAGCUCAAAUUUAAAAUCUGGCUGGUUUACUAGUCCGAGUUGUAGUUUAAAGAAGCGUUUGUCGGUGCAGUCUCGGUAAAAGUCCUUUGGAAUAGGGCAUCACAGAGGGUGAGAAUCCCGUCUUUGACUGAGAAUAUGCUACUAUGUGAUACGUUUUCAAAGAGUCGAGUUGUUUGGGAAUGCAGCUCAAAAUGGGUGGUAAAUUUCAUCUAAAGCUAAAUAUUGGCGAGAGACCGAUAGCGCACAAGUGA
rnacentral:rRNA from 1 species